UCGGACGAGGUGCAUGACGCAUGCCCGCUUUUCUUGACUGGAAGCAUGAGAUGCGGGAAACCCGGGUUCGACUCCCGGCGUCCGAA